rnacentral:misc_RNA from 1 species
AACCUUAUGGACCUGCGGGCGUAUACCUGCGGAGGGAUCAUUACCUAGAGUUGCGGGCUUUGCCUGCCAUCUCUUACCCAUGUCUUUUGAGUACCUUCGUUUCCUCGGCGGGUUCGCCCGCCGGUUGGACAACACUUAAACCCUUUGUAAUUGAAAUCAGCGUCUGAAAAAACUUUAAUAGUUACAACUUUCAACAACGGAUCU